rnacentral:rRNA from 1 species
GGGUUGUGAGGUUAAGCGACUAAGCGUACACGGUGGAUGCCCUGGCAGUCAGAGGCGAUGAAGGACGUGCUAAUCUGCGAUAAGCGUCGGUAAGGUGAUAUGAACCGUUAUAACCGGCGAUUUCCGAAUGGGGAAACCCAGUGUGAUUCGUCACACUAUCAUUAACUGAAUCCAUAGGUUAAUGAGGCGAACCGGGGGAACUGAAACAUCUAAGUACCCCGAGGAAAAGAAAUCAACCGAGAUUCCCCCAGUAGCGGCGAGCGAACGGGGAGCAGCCCAGAGCCUGAAUCAGUGUGUGUGUUAGUGGAAGCGUCUGGAAAGGCGCGCGAUACAGGGUGACAGCCCCGUACACAAAAAUGCACAUGCUGUGAGCUCGAUGAGUAGGGCGGGACACGUGGUAUCCUGUCUGAAUAUGGGGGGACCAUCCUCCAAGGCUAAAUACUCCUGACUGACCGAUAGUGAACCAGUACCGUGAGGGAAAGGCGAAAAGAACCCCGGCGAGGGGAGUGAAAAAGAACCUGAAACCGUGUACGUACAAGCAGUGGGAGCACGCUUAGGCGUGUGACUGCGUACCUUUUGUAUAAUGGGUCAGCGACUUAUAUUCUGUAGCAAGGUUAACCGAAUAGGGGAGCCGAAGGGAAACCGAGUCUUAACUGGGCGUUAAGUUGCAGGGUAUAGACCCGAAACCCGGUGAUCUAGCCAUGGGCAGGUUGAAGGUUGGGUAACACUAACUGGAGGACCGAACCGACUAAUGUUGAAAAAUUAGCGGAUGACUUGUGGCUGGGGGUGAAAGGCCAAUCAAACCGGGAGAUAGCUGGUUCUCCCCGAAAGCUAUUUAGGUAGCGCCUCGUGAAUUCAUCUCCGGGGGUAGAGCACUGUUUCGGCAAGGGGGUCAUCCCGACUUACCAACCCGAUGCAAACUGCGAAUACCGGAGAAUGUUAUCACGGGAGACACACGGCGGGUGCUAACGUCCGUCGUGAAGAGGGAAACAACCCAGACCGCCAGCUAAGGUCCCAAAGUCAUGGUUAAGUGGGAAACGAUGUGGGAAGGC